UUUAUGGAGAGUUUGAUCCUGGCUCAGGAUGAACGCUGGCGGCGUGCCUAAUACAUGCAAGUCGAGCGAACGGACGAGAAGCUUGCUUCUCUGAUGUUAGCGGCGGACGGGUGAGUAACACGUGGAUAACCUACCUAUAAGACUGGGAUAACUUCGGGAAACCGGAGCUAAUACCGGAUAAUAUUUUGAACCGCAUGGUUCAAAAGUAAAAGACGGUCUUGCUGUCACUUAUAGAUGGAUCCGCGCUGCAUUAGCUAGUUGGUAAGGUAACGGCUUACCAAGGCAACGAUGCAUAGCCGACCUGAGAGGGUGAUCGGCCACACUGGAACUGAGACACGGUCCAGACUCCUACGGGAGGCAGCAGUAGGGAAUCUUCCGCAAUGGGCGAAAGCCUGACGGAGCAACGCCGCGUGAGUGAUGAAGGUCUUCGGAUCGUAAAACUCUGUUAUUAGGGAAGAACAUAUGUGUAAGUAACUGUGCACAUCUUGACGGUACCUAAUCAGAAAGCCACGGCUAACUACGUGCCAGCAGCCGCGGUAAUACGUAGGUGGCAAGCGUUAUCCGGAAUUAUUGGGCGUAAAGCGCGCGUAGGCGGUUUUUUAAGUCUGAUGUGAAAGCCCACGGCUCAACCGUGGAGGGUCAUUGGAAACUGGAAAACUUGAGUGCAGAAGAGGAAAGUGGAAUUCCAUGUGUAGCGGUGAAAUGCGCAGAGAUAUGGAGGAACACCAGUGGCGAAGGCGACUUUCUGGUCUGUAACUGACGCUGAUGUGCGAAAGCGUGGGGAUCAAACAGGAUUAGAUACCCUGGUAGUCCACGCCGUAAACGAUGAGUGCUAAGUGUUAGGGGGUUUCCGCCCCUUAGUGCUGCAGCUAACGCAUUAAGCACUCCGCCUGGGGAGUACGACCGCAAGGUUGAAACUCAAAGGAAUUGACGGGGACCCGCACAAGCGGUGGAGCAUGUGGUUUAAUUCGAAGCAACGCGAAGAACCUUACCAAAUCUUGACAUCCUUUGACAACUCUAGAGAUAGAGCCUUCCCCUUCGGGGGACAAAGUGACAGGUGGUGCAUGGUUGUCGUCAGCUCGUGUCGUGAGAUGUUGGGUUAAGUCCCGCAACGAGCGCAACCCUUAAGCUUAGUUGCCAUCAUUAAGUUGGGCACUCUAAGUUGACUGCCGGUGACAAACCGGAGGAAGGUGGGGAUGACGUCAAAUCAUCAUGCCCCUUAUGAUUUGGGCUACACACGUGCUACAAUGGACAAUACAAAGGGCAGCGAAACCGCGAGGUCAAGCAAAUCCCAUAAAGUUGUUCUCAGUUCGGAUUGUAGUCUGCAACUCGACUACAUGAAGCUGGAAUCGCUAGUAAUCGUAGAUCAGCAUGCUACGGUGAAUACGUUCCCGGGUUUUGUACACACCGCCCGUCACACCACGAGAGUUUGUAACACCCGAAGCCGGUGGAGUAACCUUUUAGGAGCUAGCCGUCGAAGGUGGGACAAAUGAUUGGGGUGAAGUCGUAACAAGGUAGCCGUAUCGGAAGGUGCGGCUGGAUCACCUCCUUUCU
rnacentral:rRNA from 1 species